UACGGGGGGGGCAAGCGUUGUUCGGAAUUACUGGGCGUAAAGGGCGCGUAGGCGGCCUGUUAAGUCGAACGUGAAAUCCCCGGGCUCAACCCGGGAACUGCGUCCGAUACUGGCAGGCUUGAAUUCGGGAGAGGGAUGCAGAAUUCCAGGUGUAGCGGUGAAAUGCGUAGAUAUCUGGAGGAAUACCGGUGGCGAAGGCGGCAUCCUGGACCGGCAUUGACGCUGAGGAGCGAAAGCCAGGGGAGCAAACGGG
rnacentral:rRNA from 1 species